GCCAGCUUAGCUUAAUUGGUAUAGCAACGGUUUUGUAAACCGUAGGUUGUUGGUUCAAGUCCGACAGUUGGCU
rnacentral:tRNA from 1 species